UUCUACCAUACUUAUUAAGCCAUCUACACUCUUGAAUUUAACCGAUGUGGGAUUUAUGUGAAAUCCCAACAAUCUCCACCUUUCACUUGAAUACCCAUCACAAGUAUAAUACUCUAGUAUCUUAUCAUUAAGCACACCUUCUUUGAAUCCUUCAAGAGCUCUCUGCUCGACUCUAAUACAACUCCCAACAGUUUUUCCUAGAGCCAUCCCGAGCCAUGCUCCACCCGAUUCAAAUACUUUUUGAGUCCUUCAAGAGCCUUGCUUGACUCUAAUAUUACUCUACCACGUCCUGGGUGUCUCACCACGUCCUGGGUGUCUCAGCAAUUUCCCUAGAGCCUUCCUAAGCCCGCUCCACCCGACUCAAAUCAUCCCGUGCUCCACCUGACACGAGGCCGUGCUCCACCUGAUUCAACUCUAUUUACUCCACCCACGAGGCCUGCGAAUUGUACCUCUCGCGCACCCCCUCGCACCUUGAAGUUGAUACUUGGACUCCCACCGAACCAUGGGCUUUGAUACCACUUGUAGCGAAAUUGAACGAUCCAUCCCACAUCUAUUCAUCACCUUAGUAGCGCACACCUGUGUAGACGAGCCCAAUAAGUAUGUUGGACCACCUUCUUACCUUAAAG
rnacentral:lncRNA from 1 species